rnacentral:rRNA from 1 species
GAUGAACGCUGGCGGCGUGCCUAAUACAUGCAAGUCGAGCGAACGGACGAGAAGCUUGCUUCUCUGAUGUUAGCGGCGGACGGGUGAGUAACACGUGGAUAACCUACCUAUAAGACUGGGAUAACUUCGGGAAACCGGAGCUAAUACCGGAUAAUAUUUUGAACCGCAUGGUUCAAAAGUGAAAGACGUUCUUGCUGUCACUUAUAGAUGUAUCCGCGCUGCAUUAGCUAGUUGGUAAGGUAACGGCUUACCAAGACAACGAUGCAUAGCCGACCUGAGAGGGUGAUCGGCCACACUGGAACUGAGACACGGUCCAGACUCCUACGGGAGGCAGCAGUAGGGAAUCUUCCGCAAUGGGCGAAAGCCUGACGGAGCAACGCCGCGUGAGUGAUGAAGGUCUUCGGAUCGUAAAACUCUGUUAUUAGGGAAGAACAUAUGUGUAAGUAACUGUGCACAUCUUGACGGUACCUAAUCAGAAAGCCACGGCUAACUACGUG